ACAUCAAGGCGAAUUCAAGACUUUUUUUAAAUAAAGUAUUUUCUAAUCUUCUUCCCCCUGAAAAGGCCCACAGGUAACUGCACCAACAGCAAUAAGCUCCCCACACACCCAGACCAUGGUGUUUAACACCCUACUACAUAAAAGAAAUAGGGCUGCUCAAAAAGACACCCAACCCACUUCCAGAGCAGAGAAAGUGUAAGGUGAGCCGAGGACACUGGGUUACAGAAAAAAUCAAGAAAGUGCUCGAGGGGCCGCGCUGUGGCAUAGUGGGUUAAAGCCCCAGCCUGCAGUGCCAGCAACCCAUAUGGGCACCGGUUCAAGUCCUGGCUGCUCCUCUUCCGAUCCAGCUCUCUGCUAUGGCCUGGGAGAGCAGUAGAAUAUUUAUCUUUCAGAUAAAUAAAAUAAAUAUUUAAUUUAAAAAAAAGGAAGAAAGAAAGAAAAUUCUCCAGAUCUACAUCCAAGGAAAAGAGAAGCCAGCCUGGAGGGGAUGCCUCUGUCCAAAUCUGGGACAAUCUGAGCGUUAAUAUCGUAGGGAAUCAGAACACAUUGAAUUUUUUAAAAACUCAUCAAGUUCAAUGUGGUAUGCAAGAAGGUGGGGCAGCUGUUCAGUACAGGAGCAUCCUGUUAGUGCAGUAGGAGGAAUGACAGACUUAAACCCUUGCCAUUGUACACUGUAAUGGUUUUCUCAGCUAAGCAUCACUUGUGCACUCUGCUGCCCCCAGUGAAAUGUCACUCGGACGUUCAGCUGUCAACACAGAACUCAUCACGUGGAUGACCGAACUUGGCGUCAGACAGCAGGGCCAACUGGCCUGAAACGGCUCCCCACGGCCAGCAAGGGGAGGCGCCCCGUCCCAUGCAAAGUUCUCACAACCAUCACCCCCAUCGUGUCACAGUGCACAGCACUCAUGGCGUGGAGUCUUCAAGAAUGCCCACCUCAAUACAGCGCCAGCACGCUGGGCAAGACUCUCCUGGAUUAAAGGCACCCCCUGGAGUUGUGCGAUGCAAGACUGUUCACGACUUGCCCAGGGUUGUGCCCCAGUAUUCAAUGAUGGUCCUGGAUUCGAAUCUAGAACCUCGCAGACUUCAUUCUCCCUGGGAGACCCCUGCUGCCUCCACCCCUGCUGUCCUGUGCUGCCAGACAUCUCUCUCUGUAGGGACCACAGGGACAGGUGAGUCUCACGCUGAGAGACCUCAGCUUCCAAACGUGAGAUUUUUGCCUUCCUGGGGGUGGGGAGGGGUGGG
rnacentral:lncRNA from 1 species